rnacentral:rRNA from 1 species
GUGGGGAAUAUUGGACAAUGGGCGAAAGCCUGAUCCAGCCAUGCCGCGUGUGUGAAGAAGGUCUUCGGAUUGUAAAGCACUUUAAGUUGGGAGGAAGGGCAGUAAGUUAAUACCUUGCUGUUUUGACGUUACCGACAGAAUAAGCACCGGCUAACUUCGUGCCAGCAGCCGCGGUAAUACGAAGGGUGCAAGCGUUAAUCGGAAUUACUGGGCGUAAAGCGCGCGUAGGUGGUUUUGUAAGUUGGAGGUGAAAUCCACGGGCUCAACCUGGGAACUGCCUCCAAAACUGCAUGACUAGAGUACGGUAGAGGGUAGUGGAAUUUCCUGUGUAGCGGUGAAAUGCGUAGAUAUAGGAAGGAACACCAGUGGCGAAGGCGACUACCUGGACUGAUACUGACACUGAGGUGCGAAAGCGUGGGGAGCAAACAGGAUUAGAAACCCGGGUAGUCC